UACGAAGGGGGCUAGCGUUGUUCGGAAUCACUGGGCGUAAAGCGCACGUAGGCGGAUCUUUAAGUCAGGGGUGAAAUCCCAGAGCUCAACUCUGGAACUGCCUUUGAUACUGGGGAUCUCGAGUUCGGGAGAGGUGAGUGGAACUGCGAGUGUAGAGGUGAAAUUCGUAGAUAUUCGCAAGAACACCAGUGGCGAAGGCGGCUCACUGGCCCGAUACUGACGCUGAGGUGCGAAAGCGUGGGGAGCAAACAGG
rnacentral:rRNA from 1 species